rnacentral:piRNA from 1 species
UGCCAUUCAUACUGCAACGUCCGACAC